ACAAUCCUAGAGAUAGGACGUUCCCCUUCCGGGGGACAGGAUGACAGGUGGUGCAUGGUUGUCGUCAGCUCGUGUCGUGAGAUGUUGGGUUAAGUCCCGCAACGAGCGCAACCCUUGAUCUUAGUUGCCAGCAUUUAGUUGGGCACUCUAAGGUGACUGCCGGUGACAAACCGGAGGAAGGUGGGGAUGACGUCAAAUCAUCAUGCCCCUUAUGACCUGGGCUACACACGUGCUACAAUGGAUGGUACAAAGGGCAGCAAAACCGCGAGGUCGAGCCAAUCCCAUAAAACCAUUCUCAGUUCGGAUUGUAGGCUGCAACCCGCCUACAUGAAGCUGGAAUCGCUAGUAAUCGCGGAUCAGCAUGCCGCGGUGAAUACGUUCCCGGGCCUUGUACACACCGCCCGUCACACCACGAGAGUUUGUAACACCCGAAGUCGGUGGGGUAACCCUUCUGGGAGCCAGCCGCCUAAGGUGGGAUAGAUGAUUGGGGUGAAGUCGUAACAAGGUAAGCGUAGCGAG
rnacentral:rRNA from 1 species